AUGGUUUCUUGUGAUUUAUUAUAUAAGAAAUUUAACCUGCCCAAUGAAAUUUCUUUUAAGGGCUGCAGUAUUAUGACUGUACAAAGGUAGCAUAAUCAUUAGCCUAUUAAUUAUAGGCUGGUAUGAAAGGUAGGACAUUGAAAUUUUAUCUAUUAUUAAGAGAAUGAAAUUUUCUUUUAUGUUAAAAGAUAUAAAUAAAAAUAUUAGACAAAAAGACCCUAUUAAAGUUGAUUAAAUUAUAAAGGAUAAAUAAAAAUAAAUUAACCUUUUAAUUUAAUUUUGCUGGGGCGGCAAGUAUAAUGAACAAUAUUAAUAAAAAAUUUAACUUAAAUUAAAAAAGAUAAAUGUAGAUUAGAGCUUUAUCAUCUAAGAGGGCUACAUAAAUUAGUUACUAUAGGGAUAACAGCGUUAUAUUAUUUCCGAGUUCUUAUCAACAAUAAUGUUUGCGA
rnacentral:rRNA from 1 species